GUGCUUGCUUAGGUAGCACAUAUACUAAAAUUGGAACGAUACAGAGAAUAUUAGCAUGCCCCCUGCGCAAGGAUGACACGCAAAUUCAUGAAGCAUUCCAUAUUUUU
rfam:Callithrix jacchus chromosome 13, whole genome shotgun sequence